GUUUCCUACGGGAGGCAGCAGUGGGGGAUAUUGCACAAUGGGCGAAAGCCUGAUGCAGCGACGCCGCGUGAGCGAUGAAGGCCUUCGGAUCGUAAAGCUCUGUCCUCAGGGAAGACAAUGACGGUACUUGAGGAGGAAGCCCCGGCUAACUACGUGCCAGCAGCCGCGGUAAUACGUAGGGGGCUAGCGUUAUCCGGAAUUACUGGGCGUAAAGGGUGCGUAGGUGGUUUCUUAAGUCAGAGGUGAAAGGCUACGGCUCAACCGUAGUAAGCCUUUGAAACUGGGGAACUUGAGUGCAGGAGAGG
rnacentral:rRNA from 1 species